UACAGAGGUCUCAAGCGUUGUUCGGAUUCAUUGGGCGUAAAGGGUGCGUAGGUGGCGCGCUAAGUCAGGUGUGAAAUUUCGGAGCUUAACUCCGAAACUGCAUUUAAUACUGGCGUGCUUGAGGACUGGAGAGGAGACUGGAAUUCACGGUGUAGCAGUGAAAUGCGUAGAUAUCGUGAGGAAGACCAGUGGCGAAGGCGGGUCUCUGGGCCACUACUGACGCUGAGAAGCGAAAGCAUGGGGAGCGAACAGG
rnacentral:rRNA from 1 species